rnacentral:lncRNA from 1 species
CAGAUACUGGGCGGGACCAGGCAUUCCUACUGUUUUAAAAGCUCCCUUAGGGAUUCUAAUGUUCAACAGGGUUGAGAGAAUUGAUUUGGAGUAAACCCUGUUAUACAGAGUAGUAAGAAAUGUGUAUUUAAAUUUUAAGUGAGAGAGCCAUUUUUUUUUUCAGUUUGAAGUCACCUCAAAAAUCUCAUGAAAUAUUCUGUCCAUUCUUCAAUUAUGACCCAAACCAGGAAUCAAAAGCAGCUGCGAUCACGCUGGGCAUGUGGGAUGAUGAGUCAGUGAUCACAUCUCAGCCUUUGAAAGAGCCUAUCCUUGAUGUGUGACCCUCUUUCCGCAGCGGCCCUCUCUCCAGGUAGCAAAUUCCUGAGCCCACAGGGUCCAUGGAAGAAGCUUGGGAAAUAUGUUUUGUAUGCCUUCCUGGAAAUAACACAACUCCUGAUGCAUAAGUACUUGAAAGUGUGAGUUAUUUUGAAUAUUUUAGAUUAUUAUAUCAGUGGUUUUGUGAAUGUUUAAAUGAAGCCUCUAGGAAAUCAAAAUAAUUAAUCAAAAAAUGAAAAAAUCAUUCAAAUCAUAUUUUCUUCCUAUUAAACCAAACAGUUGACUUGACCAAUUUUUCCCCAUUCAAUACACUAAAAUUGAGUGGGAAAAGAUUAACUAACAAUUGAAGUUUCCAAAAAAGAUGAUUUUACUGGCAACAACUGGGGCAGGCAUUGGAGAACUGUUUUUAUUUGGCAAUGGGCAAAGAGAUAGAAAUUCUCACAGAUGAAAAAUUUCUACCAGCUUCCUAACUAGAUUUCUCAGAACUCAGUGACCAGUCAAGUAAUUUCGAAGAAUAAUAAUUCAUCUGAGCAUGUGCCAUGAAUUUACCAGAUUGAAAGAAACUAAACAGGCCGGUGCCGCAGCUCACUAGGCUAAUCCUCCACCUGCCACACCAGCACACGGGGUUCUAGUCCUGGUUGGGGUGCCGGUUCUGUCCAGGUUGCUCCUCUUCCAAUCCAGCUCUCUGCUGUG